CCUUUCCACGAAGACGUCGCGUCUCGUCGCGUCAUGAUUCUCGUAGAAGAGACCUGAUUAUCGAGGAAAAGCGGUCGGUGUCUCGCGAUUUUGUCUGAUCGCCAAAUCCAGCGAAUAAGUAGGUAUCACGGUCUUUCGCAACGAAGCAACACGUUUUUGGUCGGUGAUGCAAUUUCAUUGCUAAUUACGUCACUUUUCAUGUAUAUGUAUUUUUGAAAAUAUCUGGACGAGUAGAGACCGGUGGUUCAGACGGUUCACGAAUGUUUUACGAUCGAUUUUAUUGAACGGCGUAGAUCGACGAACGAGAGACCAUUGUAAAGUUCAAAAUCGUCAAUAAAUGGCCGACCAUAAUUCGACGAAGAGGAAGAGGAACUGCUUAAAAUGUAAAGCUUAGAAGGUGGCUGGCUGGCUGGCUGGCUGGCUGGCUGGUUGCCUCCGGGAUCUUGGAGCAGCGUAUUUUCAAGCAAACAUUGCGACAGAGUGGAGCCAUUCGACUUUACAAACUUUGCAUUUACAUAAAACCAAAGCAAAGCUGGUCGACUGUAUUAAGUUCAAGAUCACGAGGAAUCCUCGAAGCACCGAAUCCCUAUGCGCUGCGUCACGAUCAAGAAUAUCGUUAACAUCUCUUCCACGAGUGUCCUUAGAGUUAAACGAUAUUCAAAUUCAAAACAGACCGCGGCGGCCGUUAUGGCUAUACAUAUAUACAAACGAGCACGUUUCUUUGAACUCUCCUGUAACCUUCCUUCAUGAUGGGCAGUUUUUACCGAUCGAAGAAUCAUCGGCUAUUGGUCAACAAUUUUAAAUCUCAAGUCUCUAGUCAAAAUGAGUCGAAGCGCGUCGACAUUAUUUAUCGUCUAAGUUUCAAGGCAGGCUAUGUAUCUAUAAACUGGAAAAUGACUGAUCAAUGAAUAUUUUUGCAAAGUGCUCACUGUCGAUGCAACGUUUAUUUCUAAAUGUACGAGGCAUCAAAUAUUGAUCGCUAGUGACAUCUAAACUCUUGUACGUUGUUUAGACAGAACGGUUUGGAUACGCGACCGUGAAUUUCGGAGCAGUCUAUUUCCCUCCCUCACACACACACGAUUGUUCACACGAACGAACGAACGAACAGAAGGCACGAUAUACACCGAUGAAACCACCUGUACAAAUCGGCGAACGUGGAGCGGUAUCUCGUUGCGGUAGUGGGCAGUGAAUGGCUGUCGCACGCGGAGCAAUUGCUCGCUCGAAGAAGAAUUCAAGAGGAGUUCUCGCGUUUUCCACAUGGCACACGACCUAAUUCGUCCAUCUUACGUAAGCGACAACAUUGGAUCAUUCAUGCUCAGCUGAUCGCAAUACGCGCGCGCUGCUGCAAUUAAUGCGCGAGUACACCGGUACUUUUCUAUCUGUAGAAAUACGCACAAAGGGGUCUCUAAAUAUAAUUUCCACGGGUUAACGGUCGAUCCGUUUUAAGAUUUAAUCAAGUCGGACGAUGUUUUACGACGGUGGUUUAUGAACGGUACGAAAAUUAUCCAACCGCUUCCGUCAGUGUCACUGCGUCAGAUGGUACAGUAGCUCGUAAAAGAAGCGGAUUUCACGGCGCAACAUUUGAAACAAAGUACCGUAUUCGAUUCGAUUUUAUCGAUCGACCGAUAACAGAGGACCCGAUACACAAAGAAUUUAGCCUUGGCCUACUGUUUCACCGAGUUCGGGACACGAACCAACGAAUCACUGUCGCAAAAGUCGAGCGUGAGUGUUGAUAGUCCGUUGCACAACGGUAGAAACGUGCCCACGAUGUUCUUUCCCGGCUGGCGGCUUUAAUGGAGCGAUUCGUACCGUUUGUGAAUCGUGAUUAACACGAUUCGGUAUGCUCGACAUUGUGUCCUGUUUUUCAGCCAGCUGAUGGAUCGCGCCUCGAGGCCACUUGACCUACAUUAUUUUUCGCAACGAGGCCCACCUUUUUGUCAUAUCGUUUCUACACUUCCCUGGAGAUUUGCUGCAACCAUUUAAACGAGAGCACGCGAGAAACGAGAAGACAAGAAGAAGUUACGCAAUGCUUCUCUAAGCUGAAAGAAGAACUGAAAUCUUAUAUUGGGUCAGUGGAAAUUUGCCCAAAGAAAAAGAAGUUCGAAAAAUAAUUCUGUAGGGAGUUAACUGUACAGAAUUGUGUAGCGAGUUCCCUCUGUUUCGUCGCAACGCAACGUAAUCAUACGUUGGAAAAUAAAGAUUCGAUUGGAUGAUUCUCCUUUGA